rnacentral:rRNA from 1 species
CCUACGGGUGGCAGCAGUGAGGAAUAUUGGUCAAUGGGCGGGAGCCUGAACCAGCCAAGCCGCGUGAGGGAAGAAGGUACAGCGUAUCGUAAACCUCUUUUGUCAGGGAACAAAGGCGGGGACUAGUCCCCGGAUGAGGGUACCUGAAGAAAAAGCAUCGGCUAACUCCGUGCCAGCAGCCGCGGUAAUACGGAGGAUUCGAGCGUUAUCCGGAUUUAUUGGGUUUAAAGGGUGCGUGGGCGGACUGUUAAGUCAGGGGUAAAAGCCCGGGGCCCAACCCCGGCGAGCCGUUGAGACUGGCGGGCUGGAGUUGGGGAGAGGUAGGCGGAAUGCGCGGUGUAGCGGUGAAAUGCUUAGAGAUCGCACAGAACCCCGAUUGCGAAGGCAGCGUACCGGCUCCACACUGACGCUGAGGCACGAAAGCGUGGGUAUCGAACAGGAUUAGAUACCCGAGUAGUC